GCAGUGCCGGCGCGCUGCAGGCCGAGCUGGAGGCUGUCCUGGCGGCUCGGUCGUCCGGCCCGGAGCGGCGUGGGAUCACCCAGCCUCUACCGUGAGCCCCAAGACCUGCACUUCAGCCGGAGCUCACCAUGGGGAACCACUUGACCGAGAUGGCGCCCACUGCCUCCUCCUUCUUGCCCCACUUCCAGGCCCAUGUGCCGGCCUACAGCGCUGUGGACGGCUCGGCCUGCAGCCCGGCCUUGAGUGCCUGUAUGAGAUGAUCCUCAAGAGGAAGAAGACUGAAGGUCUUUUGCUUCACCCUGUGUAUGAGCCCAAGCAGUACUUCCAGGUGUGAAAUGUGUUGCUUCCAGAACCCAAAGAGUUUCACUGGGCCCUGGGCUUCCUUCUCAAUGGUCAAGGGGAAGGAAGAGGAAGCAAUUUGCCUUUGCUUUGGAAGGAAUGUCCCGUCCGUCGUCAUCAUCCCAGUUGUCCCCCCGCCCCCCAGCCUGGAUAACUGGAACCCCUGUUUCACUGAAGGCUUUACUUCCCUCUCUGACUUUGGGGCAAGGGAAUGUGUGUCUCAUGGAGGUCCCUGGUGUGUCAGCCCCCCCCCCCCCCCAGCUCAUCCUGCCCCAUCCUUAGGAUGCCAUAGAGUGACUCCAUCAGGGUCUAUGGGACGCACAGGUGGCCCAGGUCCAGAGAGUUCAGGGGACAGAGAGGGGCCUGGAGUGGUAAGGUUGUCUGGGGGGAAAAAUGUCAGCAUAUACCUUUGUGGUGUUUUUUUGAUUUUGUUUUUGUUUUGAGGAAGAUUAGCCCUGAGCUAACAUCUGCUGCCAAUCCUCCUCUUUUUGCUGAGGAAGACUGGCCCUGAGCUAACAUUAGUGCCCAUCUUCCUCUACUUUAUAUGUGGGAUGCCUGCCACAGCAUGGCUUGACACAUGGUGGCAUGUCCACACCCGGGAUCCCAACCAGCGAACCCCAGGCCUCCAAAGCGGAACGUGCGCACUUAACCGCUGCGCCACCGGACUGGCCCCUGUACCUUUGUGUUUCUUUUACCCUGUCAACUCUUGAUACUUUGACCGUUUCCUACGGGGUGUUCAGCUGUUUCUUUGUCAGUUUCUA
rnacentral:lncRNA from 1 species